UCUCCUUCUUGCGCGCAGGUUGAUGAAUGCAGGUGUUGGCUUGUAUUCAUUGUUCCUCGUUCCUCUUGUUGCUAGAAGCCUCGUGAUCAAUUGUGGUCGGAGCUGCAGAUGGCUCUGCCCUCCAGAGGCUGCGCAAGCUGCUUUUUCCUCCAGGUUUUCUGAUCAAAAGGCGAUAAUUCCCCAAAUGACUCACCAAAUUAAUCUCUUUGGACUUGGAUGAAGGUGUGCUGCUGGAGGAGGCGAUGGAGGAAGGACUCAGGGGGACAUCUUUCUUUAACAGGCGACUUUUGUCCAAUCCGUUCUCCCGAGGAGAGUGGGCGGGACUUCCUCGAGGAGAAGUAGGAUCCUAAGCCAGCCCAGCAUGGAAGGUCAGGCAACACACUGUCGUCAGAGCUUUAUAAAAGAGUAUCCCAGCACUGACGAAAAGAAAUGGACUGCAGCUGUAAAGCUUGUUUGCACGCAAAAAUAAAAAUAAUACAGAAAACAACAAAAA